UCCAUGUGGGGUCAGCCUCGGUGGGCAAGACCAGCCUGGUACAGCUUCUUGCACACCUGACUGGUCACCCACUAAAGAUCAUGGCUAUGAACAGUGCAGUCUACAUCACGGAGCUUCUGGGUGGAUUUGAGUAGGUUGAUCUUAGGCGACCUUGGAAGCAGCUGCUGGAGAAGGUGGAAGACACAGUGAGGGCACUGCUGCGGGACAGCUUCCUGGUCAGUACUGAUGAUGCUGAGGUCGUGCUGCGAGCCUGGAGUCACUUCCUCCUGACAUACAAGCCUCAGUGUUUUGAAGAUGAUGGCAAAGGCAUCACAAUGGAGACUGUCAAUAAACUGGAAGCAGUGCUACUGCUCAUGCAGCAGCUUAUCAAUAAGAUCAACUCUUACUCCAAGGCAGAGUUUGCCAAGCUUGUGGAAGACUUCCGAAGUUUUGGAGUGAAGCUUAUGC